UUUCCACCUCAUUUCCUAAAAAAUAAAACCUAAAUCUAAUUAAAACUAAACCUCAAAAUUUUCCAACGUUGUUUGGAUUGAGGAGGUUCCCCCGGAAUUGGACCUUUUGGUGACUUCGGAUGUAUUAGCCUUAUGGCGUUUUGAUUUAAUAUAUUAUCCAGUUUCAAAAAAAUUAAAACUAAACCUAAUCCUAAGCUGAAAACCUCACCAUCUUCAACCCCACCAUCUUCCAUUCCUUGACCCGUUCACAGUUCUUCCACCGCUGUUCCUCUCUUCUACCGGAUUCUCUAGCACUGGAAACCACCACGACCACAACGGCGCAACCACCUCCAUCGAAAUCCAAAUCCUACCCCUUCGCCCAAACCACCAUCGGAACCCCAAUCCCAAUCAAAACCCUAUCUUGUGUCAGUAGCAGAGAGAGAGCAGAGAGCAAGUGUUUAUGGUGGCUAUGCCUUUGUGAAAUCACGGGAUCUGAAGGUGAUGCUCCAAAAUCUAAAGUAAUGCAGAGUUGGCAACUUGUAUUCAACUGGGAGCAAGGAUUGAACUUGCAGGUUCGGGAUGUACGUGCUCGAGUGUUGACUGACAUGGCCUAGGUUACUAUGAUAACAUUUGUUGACAUGGACACAUGGUCAUUCAACGUGACCAAUGUCUUUGAGUUCCAUAAUGGACGGUGGUAUAUGGUUCAUCAUCACAGCUCUGUGAUGAAUGGGGAGGUGGAUCAAUAAUAGAUUGUGCAUGGAUAAUAGUGAGAGAUGAUACAUUGUUAUGUCUGAUACUGGUUUUAAAAAGGUGGUUUUAUUUGCAGAUGCAAGAUGCUUGAAAUUUUAGUAUGUUUCUGUGCUAAGUGUCCUGUAUUUUAAUUUGAUGGGUUGUCCUGCUUGAAGGUUGUGGCUUUUUAACAUUCAGAGCUUUUAUGUGAAGAAACCUUGAUUUGAAAUCAAUCUUUGACUCUUUGGUA